AAUGUAAACCGGCCUAAAAAACGUCCACGCCUCUGUCUGUAGUUCAACAAACCUUUUCAUUCAUUCACGCUUCCGUAACAUUCACUCACUCGGGGAUUUGUAAUUAUUGUAGCGAUUUAUAUUUUAUUUUGUAGUGUUAAUUUAAAUUUUGGAAGAUUUUAAAGGGAACCGAGGCAUGGCAUAGUUAUAUUACCUGGGCUGUAUAACAGCAGCUACAGGAGUGCUAAAACUGACUGGGAAUAAGCGUUACAAGUGUUCACAAGACUAUUGGAAUUGGUAUCAAACAAAGAUCUGCAAAAAUGUCUCGAGUAGCUAAUACUUUGGAUAUGCAGCAGAUUGAAUUUCGUGCUGUCAUCAAAUUCCUUACAAAACAAGGAAAAGGACCUUCAGUCAUUUUAAAUGAAAUGAAAGCAGUAUAUGGUGAUAAAUGUCCUGGCAAAACUAUGGUAUACAAAUGGAUUAGCAUGUUUCAAGAGGGAAGGGAAAUGAUUGAAGAUAAACCUAGGGCCUUGACUUUUAAGCGUCGUCGCACAGAACCUACCCCUCUAUUCAAAGAGAUCCCACCACCAAAAGACUAUAAGGAAAUUGAUGUUAUGGACAGCGCUUUUGAUGAUGAAGCUUUUAUAGAUGAACUACAGAAUGAAUACCUUGAUUCUGAGCCUUAAAUGGCAGCAUAGCACAGGUUUUAGAGUAGUAUCUUGACCAAAUUUGUAAAUAAAACUGCACCUCAAUAUGCUGGACAUGUAAAAUGAUGGUAACAGAUUGAAAAAUGUAAAGGAGAAAAUGAGUGAUGAUUGAGGUGUAUACAAUGCACAAAAAUCCAGAAAAAAGGCUUAGGCCAAAGGAUGAUCUUUAGAAUUUAACAAAAGGCUCAAAGCAUUGAAUAUCUGAAAUUCUAAAUCUUUAAUUUGGAGACAUAAUAUGACUCCAAAACUUUAUUUGAUUCAGUGUUGAUGUGUGAUGAUUAUAUUAAAAUUACUCUUGUAACAAACAGCACGAAAAUAACAUUUAUGUGUGUCUUUAUAAGUAGUUUUAAUAGGUACUUCUAUGAUGCAAAAUAAUGAAAUGCUUUUUUCAACAGUAAUACAGUUUUAAUAUAUUAUAUGUAAUACAUUGUCAAAUCAACAUUGUAAAAUAUCAACUGAAUAAAACAUAAUCAUUUCCUUCAACGAGAUUCAAUGA
rnacentral:lncRNA from 1 species